AACUACGUGCCAGCAGCCGCGGUAAUACGUAGGGUGCGAGCGUUAAUCGGAAUUACUGGGCGUAAAGCGUGCGCAGGCGGUUAUAUAAGACAGAUGUGAAAUCCCCGGGCUCAACCUGGGAACUGCAUUUGUGACUGUAUAGCUAGAGUACGGCAGAGGGGGAUGGAAUUCCGCGUGUAGCAGUGAAAUGCGUAAAUAUGCGGAGGAACACCGAUGGCGAAGGCAAUCCCCUGGGCCUGUACUGACGCUCAUGCACGAAAGCGUGGGGAGCAAACAGGAUUAGAUACCCUGGUAGUCCACGCCCUAAACGAUGUCAACUGGUUGUUGGGUCUUCACUGACUCAGUAACGAAGCUAACGCGUGAAGUUGACCGCCUGGGGAGUACGGCCGCAAGGUUGAAACUCAAAUGAAUUGACGGA
rnacentral:rRNA from 1 species